CCACAAUGGGNGGAAAAAUGAUCCAGCAAUGCCGCGUGUGUGAAGAAGGCCUUCGGGUUGUAAAGCACUUUUGUUAGGGAGGAANGUCCNGUAGCUAAUAACUGCUAGAUCUGACGUUACCUAAAGAAUCAGCACCGGCUAACUCUGUGCCAGCAGCCGCGGUAAUACAGAGGGUGCAAGCGUUAAUCGGACUUACUGGGCGUAAAGGGUCUGUAGGCGGAUUAUUAAGUCGGAUGUGAAAUCCCCGGGCUCAACCUGGGAACGGCAUUCGAUACUGGUAGUCUAGAGUGUGCAAGAGGAUGGGGGAAUUCCUGGUGUAGCAGUGAAAUGCGUAGAGAUCAGGAGGAACAUCAAUGGCGAAGGCACCUUUCUGGGGCAACACUGACGCUGAGAGACGAAAGCGUGGGGAGCAAACAGGAUUAGAUACCCUGNUAGUCCACGCCCUAAACGAUGUCAACUAACUGUUCGGAGUCACUAAGAUUCUGAGUAGUGAAGCUAACGCGAUAAGUUGACCGCCUGGGGAGUACGGCCGCAAGGUUGAAACUCAAAGGAAUUGACGGCGGGCGGGGG
rnacentral:rRNA from 1 species